AACGAACGCUGGCGGCGUGGCUAAGACAUGCAAGUCGAACGGACUGGUCAAUUUAUUGAACAGUUAGUGGCGUAAGGGUUAGUAACGGAUGGGUAACGUACCCUGUGCUUUGGGAUAGCGUCAGUUGCCUUCGGGCAACUUUCCGAAAGGGGCGGUAAUACCAGAUAAUAUCAUUUGUCGAUAGGCGAAUGAUCAAAGAUUUAUCGGCACGGGAGCGGCCUGUCUCCUAUCAGCUUGUUGGUGAGGUAAUGGCUCACCAAGGCAUCGACGGGUAGCGGGACUGAGAGGUUGGCCCGCAACAUCGGGACUGAGACACUGCCCGGACCUCCACGGAGGGCUGCAGUAACGGAUAUUGUGCAAUGGGCGAAAGCCUGACACAGCGACACCGCGUGUAGGAGGAAGUCUUUCGGGAUGUAAACUACUGUCAGGGGGAAGAAAGUGCGCUCCGGCGUAUUGAUCUAACCCAGAGGAAGUCACGGCUAACUUCGUGCCAGCAGCCGCGGUAAGACGAAGGUGGCAAGCGUUGUUCGGUAUUACUGGGCUUAAAGCGUGUGUAGGCGGAAAUGUAAGCGUUGCGUGAAAUCCCCCGGCUUAACCGGGGAACUGCGCAACGAACUGCGUUUCUUGAGGCAAGUAGGGGUGCAUGGAACUCUUGGUGGAGCGGUGGAAUGCGUAGAUAUCAAGAGGAACGCCAGUGGAGAAAUCGGUGCACUGGGCUUGUUCUGACGCUGAGACACGAAAGCGUGGGGAGCGAACGGGAUUAGAUACCCCGGUAGUCCACGCCGUAAACGAUGCCUACUAGGUUGUGGUGGUUCUGACACCAGCACAGCCGAAGCAAAAGUGCUAAGUAGGCCGCCUGGGGAGUACGGUCGCAAGGCUA
rnacentral:rRNA from 1 species